GUAGGUAUAGCUCCAUGGUAGAGUACAUGCUUAGCAUGCACAAGGUUCUCGGUUCAAUCCCCAGUACCUCCA
rnacentral:tRNA from 1 species